GAGAGAUGGCCGAGUGGUUGAAGGCGGUAGUCUCGAAAACUGCUAUAGGGGGAACUCUAUCGAGGGUUCGAAUCCCUCUCUCUCC
rnacentral:tRNA from 1 species